CAGCAGCUCCUCUGACAGCAGUGUAACCGCCCUGCACGCCGGGUAGCUUGCUUCUUGGGGUGCUUCUUGGGUCGUGAGGAAAGAAGUUCUGUCAGAGCUCACCACUGUACAUUUCUUCCGUAUGCUGUUAGGGCACUGCGGCUUCGUCCCCUCCAGUUUAUGUUGCAAAGUGCUGGAAUAAGUGAGUACUCCAGGUUCUGGGAUGUGGCAUCAGAUGACAAACCCAAAGGGAGAAACUGCGGCCUGAAAUGGAAUGAACAGCUGGCCAAACGACAGAAGCAAAAUGUGAAGUGAGGCUGAUGGAUAAGAAACAUUAGUUCAUCUGUGAAAGUGCUUGCUACAGUUCAGUAGUGGAGGAAGGCAACAGCUGGUCUGCGCAUUUGUGAGUGAGCAGUAUUUAAUAAGAACUAAAGCCAUUUUUUUUCGGAGUGAGAGAUGACUCAAAUGGUUAAGUUUCCAAUAAUAAUCUCGGCAAAUUCAGCAAACUGAGUACAUUGAGGGAACAGUCAGCUCAGGAACAUCUAGAACUUUGAUUUUCCCCAGAUGGAGUACCUUGCUGAGGUACAAAACUAGAACUCCAUGAAAGUCCAGUGUGCUCUGCCUCUUACACAGCUGCCUAAUGUUGUGCUGAAGAGCAAAACUUCUGAUUUUCUCACUGUGAAAAUGCUAUUUGAAUUCAGCACCAUAACUGGAAUAAAAUAAUAAGUUUGUUUUGAUGUCUGAAAUUCUUAAAGAUCAAUUCCAAAAACCUGUUUUGGUCCAAAUCUGGGUCCAUCAAAGACCUCAGAGGAAUCUCCAGCAAAGUGUACACUGAAAUAAAAAACAAAACAAACACCUUUCUUCUGUAAUCAUGCCUAUUAGAUCUUUUCCUUCUACUAUCUGUCCUGUUCCAGGUAGAGUUACUGCUUCUAUUUUCAAGCUUUUUAAUGCAUCAUUUAUGUAAUCUGAAAGUAUAAUGCUGUCACAUACAUGGUAUGGUAGAGAUAAUACAAUGUCAUCUAUGAAUUCUCAGGAGUGGUGCCCAAGUCAGUGCCAAACCAGGCUUAAGUUGUGCAAGGAUGGCAAAAAUAUAAUAGAGUAUGAAAAGGCUUUUGUGAGAGAAAAGUGAGGAUGGUGGUGGUAAUAUGAUGCAGAAAAAAACUCCAGGGAAUUAUUUAAUGCUAUGCCUGUAGAUCGAGGGCUUUAAUAAAAUAAAAAGAGCAAAGAGAAGACUCUGCACUCUGAUGAUGGAUGAAUAUGCCUGUUUUGGUACUUCUGGGAUGGAUUACGCUAUUGAAAAACCAUUCAACAUUGGCUAAAGAACUGUAAUAUAUGUGAAACUCCACAGUUAAUGCAUCAUUAAAUAAUUUGCUGCAACUGAUUUAUAGGUGCAAUAUACUACACUGUGUCAAACGAUGUGGGAUAAUAAAUGGUAUCACAAAAAUAUACUAUUGAAACUUUUGU